rnacentral:lncRNA from 1 species
GGGUCUCUCACUGCUCAAUUUAGAGAAAAUGGUUUCUCUAACCACUCUCCAAUACAUAUAGAGAAUCAUAUCAUAGGAAGUGGGCAACAAAGACCUUUUAGGUUUCUUAAUAAUCUUGCAGAUCAUGAUAAGUUUCUGCAGACCGCGGAGACCAUUUGGGGAUAGAAUAUACAAAAGGGAGGGAUUAGAGGGUGUGGAAAAAGCUAACGUAUUGCAAGGGGAUUUUGAAAUAUCUAAUGAUGCAGGAAAUUAAGAGUUUGGGGAGAAGAGUACACGAAGCUAGAUCCAAUCUUGAAAAUAGCUAGUCUCAGAUCACUCAACAUAUGAGAUCAAG